CACAACCUCUCCUUGGCUCUUCUCUUUAAUAAGAAUUAUACAUGUUACUUUCCUCGCUCUUUUCUCCCUUUUAUUACUUUUUAAGCUUCUCAUCAACACUGCCGGGGCAUAUUUGCUUCAGCCCUGACAAGGACUCGAGCAGUUAUAAUCCCGUCUUAAUUUGGCAACUUUUGUAAAACACAUAAAGGGCCCAGGGUCACCUUUGGUCGCCAGGGCCCCGGGUGACCCUGCAGCUUCCACCUCCCGCCUGGGCUUGGUGAGCCGCUCCUCUGGGUAUGCGUUCCUCUCCGGCAGUCAGGAUCAGAUGACUCAACUAACCGCCGGCGCACAGGCUGCCAGGCGGAACUGGGAGGGUCCGAGCCCUGGCCUCUCUCUGUUCCCGCUUCAGUGGCCCUCUCUACCCAGCUGGUGGCAGCGCUUGAGGGAAGGGAACGCAUUGAGGAGAGGGAGGAGCCUCCGGACUAAAAGGUCCUUUCAAGCACGGAUGGCGGUGCCCAGUGGUCAAUACCCUCACUUUUAUCCAGUGUCCGCUUCAUUUAAACUUAAUCAACUCCAUCAAUGAGCUGGAACAGGGAAACGUCCCUGCGGUCCUAUUUCCUUUCCCUUUUCACCUGCUGUUUGACCGCCCUCACUGCAGCACCUUGGGCUUCUAAUGUGAGGAAAAACACGGAAUGACAAGUGUGGGAAAGAGCAAGCACUAAAUUACUGUCAGAAAAAUAAACGGAGCAGCACAGUGGUGCUCGGUGAUUUACGGGGGCAAUUAGUCACCACCCCACGGCGCUGCUGAGGACAGCACGGCAGCAGGCGCGUCAGGCCGGAGGAAGAAGAGGCUUUGCACUGCUCUCCAGACAACUUUUCAAACAACAAGAGAGGGUGUUUGAGCACAUUAGGUUCUAUGUCUUCAUUCUGGGUGCCCACCCUUCAUGUUAUUCAAACAACUUAAUCUGUAAAUGUAUUUUUAGCACAAUAUUAACCUGUUCUGUGUGCGUUAAAAAGACUCCAACUGCAGCUUUUUCUUUCCCACUGUCCAAAGUAGGUUUUUCCCCCAUCCCUUAAAAAAUAAACAAAAAAACCUUUCCCCAUUCCCAGAUUGUCCCCCUGAUGUGUGCCUUUGGUCUGUCUCAUCACUUUUUGCAUCUUGCUGCCACGUUCUGUCUUUGCUCAGAGCCACUGAGCUGAGGAAUUUAGUCUGCAGCUCCUGGGGGAUGCUUGGUGAGCUGGUACAAGGGGGGUGAUCCACGAGGCUGUGAAACACAGGGUGAAUGAAGAAGAUGCAUGAACUUUCUGAUAUUUGCCAAUGUGUUCUUUAACAUACUAUAUGUAGUGCCUCUGUAUAUGUACAUAGCAAAAUAAACCUGCUAAAAUAUAAUGAAUCGGUGUGCAUUCUUUAAUCGGAAUUCUUCUCUAUCAGGAGAAAUCUAGAAUGGAAGAUGGAGAGAGAACCCAGGAAAGACAAAGACUUUACUGACUAAAUGCCACGUCUGUGUACGGACAGUAGCAGGGCUGCUGAGGUGAACAAAUCAAGCUUCGUCAGGAGUUUAGCAUCCUUAUGUACUGUUACCUAAGAAUGCUGCCAUCUUAUAUUUCUGAAGCACUUUACAGUUUACAAAGGACAUUUGGAAUUCCUUUGCUCAUUUGAUCUUGCUUUGGCUUUAGUCAAGAACACCUGCUCAGUUUUGAAAUGUGUUCGGUCAGCUGUCUCCAAUCCUGAGGUCGUCACUUGUCAAGAGGGGAUAAUCCCAAGGACAGCAGGAUCUGCUUCGUCACUUGGAUUUAGCAGUGAGAAACCCAUCAGGCCACUAAACAGUAACAAUGACCCACCAUUAAACACCCUGAGAGAAGAGCAUGAUGAGAAGAUUGUACAAGAAGAAUCCAGGAGCUUUUGCUGACAACGCCUAUGGAGACCCUGGCCACUGUGAGCUCCGCCCAUUGAACUGUAAUAAAAAAUCUCCGCCUCCCCAGAGAUGCUUGGAUGUGGGCACAAUAUUAAUUCAGACAAUGGUUUCUGCAUGGAUGUAGAGUGAAAAGAAUUUGGACUGUGGGGGUCAGACAGACCUGGCUUUGAAUUGUUAUUCUGUCACAUUUUUUGUUUUUGGGGAGGAAGAUUGUCACUGAGCUAACAUCUCUGCCAAUCUUCUUCUAUUUUUUCCGUAUGUGGGAUGCUGCCACAGCAUGGUUUGACAAGCAGUGUAUAGGUCCACACCCAGGAUCCAAACCUGCAAAACCUGGGCCGCAGAAGCUGAGCACGCGAACCCAACCACUACACCACCGGACCAGCCCCUCUGCCACUUCUUUGUAGUAUGCUUUGGUAACAUUUAAAAAUCCCUCUGAGCCUCAGUUAUCUUGUCUGCAAAAUGGAGCUAAUGCCUACACAGGGGCUUUUAAGAGGAUCAAGUGCACCAGUGUUUGAAAUGCACACACUGGGUACUUCUCUUUACGGAAAAAGAGCAAGAUGUGGGGCCAAAAAGGAACUAGUACAACAAAAGCUAUUCUCAAAAUUAUCCUUUGUCCUAGGCUCUUAACCUCAGAACGUGUGCUUAUUUCUGUAGCUCAGAUACCAAGGGAAAAGAGAGAGAGAGAGAGAGAGAGAAAGGCAGGAAGUCAAAUUCUGGCUCUCACACAAGAAAAUUCACUCUUGAUAAUUUUCAGACAGUGUUGCUCUCCUUCCUCAAACUCUGGCACCACAGGCAUUAUGCCAAAGAAGUCAGCAGCCUGGCAGAUAUUUCAAAUUGAUUCUGAGAGCAAACGACAGGCCAUUUGUGCCAUAUGCCACUGACACGUUAAUCUAGGCAAGGAUGCUAGGCACCUGGGGACAUCCAUGCUGAAAUGCCAUUUAGGCAGGGCACACCAACUCCAGUGGCAGGAGUUCAUCAGUGCAAACAGUGAGGGCGGCCAAGAAGAUGGAAGUGGAAAGGAGGAGUGAGAGGGAGGCACAGUGUCUAAGCCUGGAGAGAUUUUCUGAGUUGCAGACAGUUCAUUAUGCUUCUAGGAGAGCUGCAGAUUCAACAGAACAUCCAAACUGGGUAUUUACAGACUGGACAAAUGAGUGUCUGCUACUUUUGCACCUAUUAUACUACGUGGCCACCAACCCCGUGAACCUUCUCUCCAUUGGCAAAUACUGAGCGAUGCUCCAGUCCACUGGAAUGACCUUCUUUAUCCUGCAGUUUCACCGUAAAAAGCAAGCAGCUGCUGAGCGAUUCUAGGAGAUGCCCCAGUGUCAGACUUUCCAGGAUCCAAUUUGGUGGAAGCACUCUGGGCCUUUGGUCUCCAUCUCCCCUUUGCCCAGCCUUGUUCCUUGGUUACUGUGAGCAGUAACGAGCUUCCCCACCCCAGCGUGAGGACAGGCUCACAGCCAGCACAUGAAAAAGGCUGAGCUCGUGUGGGGCAACUACUUUAUUUCAUGGGCAGAUCACACAUCUCUUCUUUUCCUUCUUCUGUGAUGCAACUACACUAAUGAUUUUUUGUUUUUAAGUAGGAAUGAGGCAGUACUAUGGCUUUCUGGGGAAAAAAAGUCCACAGCAGGAUAACUGCAGCAGAUAUCAGAAAAGAAGCUCAGAACGAGAUGCCCGUCCGCUCUCGUCGUUGGCCCGAAUGAUUUUCCAGGAGCAAAA
rnacentral:lncRNA from 1 species